rnacentral:rRNA from 1 species
CACGUAGGGGCCAAGCGUUGUCCGGAUUUAUUGGGCGUAAAGAGCUCGUAGGCGGUUGGGUAAGUCGGGUGUGAAAACUCCGGGCUCAACUCGGAGACGCCACCCGAUACUGCUCUGACUUGAGUCCGGUAGGGGAGUGGGGAAUUCCUGGUGUAGCGGUGAAAUGCGCAGAUAUCAGGAGGAACACCGGUGGCGAAGGCGCCACUCUGGGCCGGAACUGACGCUGAGGAGCGAAAGCGUGAGUAGCAAACAGG